UGCCCCGUGGUGUAACGGUAACACAAGCGCCUCUGGAGCGCUAUUUCAAGGUUCAAAUCCUUGCGGGGCAG
rnacentral:tRNA from 7 species